GACGAACGCUGGCGGCGUGCUUAACACAUGCGAGUCGAACGAUGAAGCAAAGACUCGAAGCUUCGGCAGAAAUUCAUUCCGGAUUAGUGGCAGACGGGUGGGUAACGCGUGAGCAACCUACCUCUUACAAAGGGAUAGCCUCGGGAAACCGGGAUUUAUACCAUAUAACAUUGUUACGAAGCAUUUCGAUGCAAUCAAAGCUACGGCGGUAAGGGAUGGCCUCGCGUCCCAUUAACCGGAUGGUGAGGUAACGGCUCACCAUAGGGACGAUGGGUAACCGGCCUGAGAGGGGGAACGGUCACACUGGGACUGAGACACGAUCCCGACUCCUACGGGAAGCAGCAGUGGGGAAUAUUGCAGCAUGGAGGGAACUCAGAUGCAGCGACGCCGCGUGAGCGGUGUAGGGAUUCGUAUCGUAAAGCACUGUUGAAUGGGAAGAAAGGGACUGUACCAUAAGAGAAAGCUCCGGCUAAGUACGUG
rnacentral:rRNA from 1 species